rnacentral:lncRNA from 1 species
AGACAGGCAGUAGGCUGGACUUGGCUCCUGAGCAGUAGUUUGCCAACCCCUAGUUUAGUAGCAAGACAAAAGAAGUUAUUUGCUAUGAGAUUAAAUAGAGAGUUUAAGCCAGAGACUAAUGCAGAACACCUACUGGAAAAGGAAAGGAAAGAGAGAGGAAGAUAAGAAUUUAUGAAAGAUCCUAAAAUAUAAACAGGAGCCCCAGCAGAUAACUUAGAAGGGUGGAAGGAAAAUUAUUUUUUCCUCCCUUACAAGGUGUUGUGGGUGGCCAAGAAAUGAGGAACAGCGUAGUGUUCAUCUACAAGGAAAUGAAGUCUCUGAACCUCAUCUUUGGACACAAUGUUCCAACCAGUUGUCUUAACCAAGUGCCUUGAAAAGAGAACAAGGUGAGUAGAGAAGGUGCUUCACUUCUCCAAGCUCCCACACUGAUUCGUAAGAUAAGUCAAGGGGUUCUCACAUUUCCUAGGACGGUAGUUUUCUCACUGUAUUUAGAGAGUAUCAGCAGAAACACGAUUGCACACGGGAAAUGCUAAAGCUAGGAGCUCUGCAGUGUGUCAGGGGAGACGCAUAUGUGUUAAUUAUGACGCAGAAGAGAAGUGACCCUCAGGGGCCCUUAGUGGAAGAAGCCGUGUUGGCUUGCACUCAGCAGCAGCUUGUGGGCAUGCACGCUGGUUACUACAAGUCUUCAGGGAGCUCUGCUCAGGUGACU